GAUGAACGCUGGCGGCGUGCCUAAUACAUGCGAGUCGAGCGAACGGACGAGAAGCUUGCUUCUCUGAUGUUAGCGGCGGACGGGUGAGUAACACGUGGAUAACCUACCUAUAAGACUGGGAUAACUUCGGGAAACCGUAGCUAAUACCGGAUAAUAUUUUGAACCGCAUGGUUCAAAAGUGAAAGACGGUCUUGCUGUCACUUAUAGAUGGAUCCGCGCUGCAUUAGCUAGUUGGUAAGGUAACGGCUUACCAAGGCAACGAUGCAUAGCCGACCUGAGAGGGUGAUCGGCCACACUGGAACUGAGACACGGUCCAGACUCCUACGGGAGGCAGCAGUAGGGAAUCUUCCGCAAUGGGCGAAAGCCUGACGGAGCAACGCCGCGUGAGUGAUGAAGGUCUUCGGAUCGUAAAACUCUGUUAUUAGGGAAGAACAUAUGUGUAAGUAACUGCGCACAUCUUGACGGUACCUAAUCAGAAAGCCACGGCUAACUACGUG
rnacentral:rRNA from 1 species